GGCAGUUGUCUGAGGUUCGUCAGUAGAAUGUGAGGGGAGCCACACAGAUACCGCACAGACUAUUCCAAGACUGGUUUACGUUGAGAGCUGUUGCUCUACUUUAGUGCGGCAGAAAAAUGAGGUUGCAACAAUUCCUUUUUGCGUUUCUGCUUUUCGCGAUGAGUCUUCUUCUUAUCAACGGACAGAGACCAGCUCAUUUGGCAAUGAGAAGAAAAUCGCACAGACACAACUGCCUUCAGAGGAGAUGUGUGCCUCUCCAUUCACGGGUGCCUUUCCCCUGAGUGUUCAUGGUGCGCGGCUCUUCAUCACGCCGCUUUGAAGAAUGAAGAGGUGGACCAGAUGGACUGUGAACUGUGGUCCAGAAGCAGAUGAUACUCCUGACCUGUCUUCAGAAAGUCAAUAGUAGCCUAACAUCAUAUCACAGUGCCUAAGUUAUUCCCCUCACUUCAUCACUUCAUUUCAUCAAGUAGACAUUGUAUCAUCUCACAUUACCACAGGAAAGGACCUUCUCUAGAUAACUGCACCUGGUCUGCCAGAAGAGAAGUGAAGGAAAGAUACCCACCCACACCAUAGUGUGAUUGCUUACAAGUUCUUGUAUGAAAAGGAAUCAUUUGAAAGCACCUGGGAUGGUUUAUUAGUUUUACAGGAUUCUCUUCUUCCUGGUUUCUCUUUAGAGGGAAAAAUAACAUAAAUUCAAAAGCAAUUCCAGUCUGAAGCACAAUUAUUUGCUUGCAUAACAAAAAUCUCUAAUCUUUUUCUGCACAUUACUAUUCUUAGAGGAGUUAAAAAGAAAAAUACUUUUUAAUGUGUUAGAACUCUCUAAUAAUAAAAAGUACAAGAAUUAAAAUUUUUCUUUCAUAGUUCUAUAAUUCUCCAAAAGUAUUAAAAUAAGUAUUUAUAUGUUUGAGUGAUUUUUUUUUCCAAAAAUGCUAAAUCUAAUCAAAUGCUUUGACCAUUUGGCUUUACAGAAUAGGGGUACAUUAAUUGGUUCAUUGAUUAUUUAUAUGGAGAGACUAAGAAAGAAGCUAUUAAUUGCUACCAAUUUUAUAUUAUAGGCUUUAAUGUGUAUGAAAAUAUUUUUUUAUUUUGAAAAAUAUCCAUAAAGUCAUAAAAGAAAGUUUGAAAUACUAAGAUGUUCGUUUCUGAAUCUAUCUCUCAUCAUGUAAUUAUAGGAAGCCAAUGUUUUAUUUCCUUCCCAACAUUAGGUCUUCCCAAGUUGUUAAGUUCACUCUUAAUUUGUAUUUAUUAAAAGACAGAUAGCUCAUUGCCAUAAAGUUACUAUUUUACCGUAGGUUAAUUCCAGGUAUGAAAUUUACAAAUUCUUUUCUUGAUUAGAAAUUUUGCUUUGUAAACAUUAUAGAGUGGAAGAAACCGUAAACCGUUAACCCUUAUUUUGAUAAAAUAAAAGGUUGGGAUUGGUAUACUACAAAGAAUUUGAGGUAGAAAUUCUGAAAUCACAGAGUUUGUCUCCCUUUCAUAGUUUAUUAAUGGUGUCUUUUGGGAUGGAAAGUGUUUCUAUAAAGCACUGUAAUUAACUUUAAAUACAAAAGAUGUUUUAUGAAAUGUGGUAACCUCAUUUAAAUUGGGUACUUUGGGGAUAUUUAAAUAAUUUUCUGGACAAAUUAUUCCUUUACACAAGUGCAUUUCAGUAGAAACAGAAGCUAUUAUUAGUUAGAUUUGUAAUUAAAACAUGUACUUGUUUAUAUAUUUUGUACCAAAAAAAGAAAAACAAUAUACAGUUCAGAUACAUCUCAUUGAAUACAAGCCGACACUUUUUCAGACUCACAUUCACAAAGUUAAAAACCAGCCAUACCAUUGUAAGGUAAUUAAAUGGUUGUAGAUUUCCACUUAUACAACUGCAAUAAGUUUU